UUUAUCACAAACUAAAAUUACACGUAUAUCGGCACAUAUCACUAGGGUGCUUCUUAGAAGUCAGUGUAUGGGAUAUACGGAAGAAUAAC
rnacentral:sRNA from 1 species